rnacentral:lncRNA from 1 species
CGCAGGGCGCAGCUUUAUACGACCGCAGAGGUUGAACCCUGAACGGUUGGGGCAAGUAUGGACACAACAUUGAAGCUGGAUUCAGCUCUAAAUUUUGAUUGUGAUUAAAUAGUUGACACAGCAUAGGUUUCUGACACAGAAUGAAUGUGGUCUAAUGAACUUAAAAUUUUUUUUUGCCUUUGAGCAAUUCACUAUGCUGUUGAAUAUUAAUC